CACUGGAACAACUUAUGGGAGUUUUUCCAGCUGCAAGUGGUAACUUCCUACCUCCAUCAUGGCGGAAGCUCAUGAGUGAUCCUGAUUCUAGUAUAAUUGACUUCUACCCUGAAGAUUUUGCUAUUGAUUUAAAUGGGAAGAAAUAUGCCUGGCAAGGUGUUGCUCUGUUGCCGUUCGUGGAUGAGCGAAGGCUGCGAGCUGCCCUAGAAGAGGUAUACCCAGACCUCACUCCAGAAGAGACCAGUGGGUGUACCACCUGAACUAUGUCAUGGGAUUCAAGGAAAGUUUUCUUUGGAUGAAGAAGCCAUUCUUCCAGAUCAAAUAGUGUGUUCUCCUGUUCCCAUGUUUCAGGAUCUGACACAGAAUGCUGCAGUCAGGUCAUUUUUCCAAAAUACGUGACAUUCGCCCAAAACACAGCUCUGAGCUUGCAAAUAAGUUUAAGAAGACCUC